GUAUUCAAAUAAUAAUUCUAAUUUUGAAUAAAUAAUAGUAAAGAUGAAUUUCUCUCGUGUAUUGUUGUUCGUGUUCGCGUGUUUGGUGGCAGCGUGCAGCGUGUCGGCCGCGCCCGAGCCCAGGUGGAAGGUCUUCAAGAAAAUUGAGAAGGUGGGUCGUAACAUCAGGGACGGUGUCAUCAAGGCUGGGCCUGCUAUCGAAGUCCUGGGCCAGGCUAAAGCUAUUGGAAAAUAGACCUAAACUGUUAAUCAAUAAUGUUUAAAGUAUUAUAACUGUACAUUACCUCGAAUAUCAAAGAAAGUUCAUUAUGUUUAAUUUGUAAAUAUGUAUUUAUUACUUUUAUUUAAUGUAAUACUCAUAAAGCUAUGAAAUAAAUGUUUUUAAGUUUA
rnacentral:lncRNA from 1 species